UACGUAGGCAGCAAGCGUUGUUCGGAGUUACUGGGCGUAAAGGGUGCGUAGGCGGCUCUAUAAGUAUGGUGUGAAAUCUCCCGGCUUAACUGGGAGGGUGCGCUAUAGACUGUGGGGCUAGAGUGUGGGAGAGGAAAGUGGAAUUCCUGGUGUAGCGGUGAGAUGCGUAGAUAUCAGGAGGAACACCGGUGGUGUAAACGGCUUUCUGGACCAUAACUGACGCUGAGGCACGAAAGCGUGGGUAGCAAACAGG
rnacentral:rRNA from 1 species